AUUAGCAACGGAGAUGGAGUUCUCCUUUAACCCAACCGCUUUAACUUCAUUAAAAGCUGAUAACUCCUACAAUUAA
rnacentral:ncRNA from 2 species